rfam:Canis lupus familiaris chromosome 12, whole genome shotgun sequence.
GGGGGGAGGCCGGAUCAUGGGCUGUGUCCCCGGUGUCGUCUGCUCCGGGGCCUGGGCUGUUGGAUUCGCGCUCCGGCCGUGUAGCCGCCU